rnacentral:rRNA from 1 species
AGGUCCCAGUUCAGAUUGCAGGCUGCAACCCGCCUGCAUGAAGUCGGAAUUGCUAGUAAUCGCGGAUCAGCAUGCCGCGGUGAAUACGUUCCCGGGCCUUGUACACACCGCCCGUCACACCAUGGGAGCCGGUAAUACCCGAAGUCAGUAGUCCAACCACGUGAGGACGCUGCCGAAGGUAGGAUUGGCGACUGGGGUGAAGUCGUAACAAGGUAAC